UACGGGGGGAGCAAGCGUUGUUCGGAUUUACUGGGUGUAAAGGGCGCGUAGGCGGUCGUGACAAGUCACUUGUGAAAUCUCCGGGCUUAACUCGGAGCGGUCAAGUGAUACUGUCGGACUAGAGUACAGGAGGGGCAACUGGAAUUCUCGGUGUAGCGGUGAAAUGCGUAGAUAUCGAGAGGAACACCUGCGGCGAAGGCGGGUUGCUGGGCUGAUACUGACGCUGAGGCGCGAAAGCCAGGGGAGCGAACGGG
rnacentral:rRNA from 1 species